GGACGAACGCUGGCGGCGUGCCUAAUACAUGCAAGUCGAACGAACCAUAACUUGAACUUGUUCUGGUUAAGGUUAGUGGCGCACGGGUGAGUAACACGUGGGGAACCUGCCCUUUAGUGGGGGAUAACAGUCGGAAACGACUGCUAAUACCGCAUAGACAAYUUAACCGCCUGGUUAAGUUGGGAAAGGUGCUACGGCAUCAUUAAAGGAUGGCCCCGCGGUGCAUUAGCUAGUUGGUAAGGUAACGGCUUACCAAGGCGAUGAUGCAUAGCCGACCUGAGAGGGUGAUCGGCCACAUUGGGACUGAGACACGGCCCAAACUCCUACGGGAGGCAGCAGUAGGGAAUCUUCCGCAAUGGACGCAAGUCUGACGGAGCAACGCCGCGUGUGUGAAGAAGGUUUUCGGAUCGUAAAGCACUGUUGUUAGAGAAGAACGGCUACUAGAGGAAAUGUUAGUAGAUUGACGGUAUCUAACCAGAAAGCCACGGCUAACUACGU
rnacentral:rRNA from 1 species